GCUCAUUAAAUCAGUUAUCGUUUAUUUGAUAGUACCUUACUACUUGGAUAACCGUGGUAAUUCUAGAGCUAAUACAUGCUAAAAACCCCGACUUCGGAAGGGGUGUAUUUAUUAGAUAAAAAACCAAUGCCCUUCGGGGCUCCUUGGUGAAUCAUGAUAACUUAACGAAUCGCAUGGCCUUGCGCCGGCGAUGGUUCAUUCAAAUUUCUGCCCUAUCAACUUUCGAUUGUAGGAUAGUGGCCUACAAUGGUUUCAACGGGUAACGGGGAAUUAGGGUUCUAUUCCGGAGAGGGAGCCUGAGAAACGGCUACCACAUCCAAGGAAGGCAGCAGGCGCGCAAAUUACCCAAUCCCGAUACGGGGAGGUAGUGACAAUAAAUACUGAUACAGGGCUCUUUUGGGUCUUGUAAUUGGAAUGAGUACAAUUUAAAUACCUUAACGAGGAACAAUUGGAGGGCAAGUCUGGUGCCAGCAGCCGCGGUAAUUCCAGCUCCAAUAGCGUAUAUUAAAGUUGUUGCAGUUAAAAAGCUCGUAGUUGAACCUUGGGCCUGGCUGGCCGGUCUGCCUCACCGCAUGUACUGGUUCGGCCGGGUCUUUCCUCCUGGGGAUCCGCAUGCCCUUCACUGGGUGUGUUGGGGAACCAGGACUUUUACUUUGAAAAAAUUAGAGUGUUCAAAGCAGGCCUUUGCUCGAAUACAUUAGCAUGGAAUAAUAGAAUAGGACGUGCGGUCCUAUUUUGUUGGUUUCUAGGACCGCCGUAAUGAUUAAUAGGGAUAGUCGGGGGCAUCAGUAUUCAGUUGUCAGAGGUGAAAUUCUUGGAUUUACUGAAGACUAACUACUGCGAAAGCAUUUGCCAAGGAUGUUUUCAUUAAUCAGUGAACGAAAGUUAGGGGAUCGAAGACGAUCAGAUACCGUCGUAGUCUUAACCGUAAACUAUGCCGACUAGGGAUCGGGCGAUGUUAUUCUUUUGACUCGCUCGGCACCUUACGAGAAAU
rnacentral:rRNA from 1 species